CUUUAACACUGAGGCGUGACGACGAGGCACUACGGUGCUGAAGCAACAAAUGCCCUGCUUCCAGGAAAAGCCUCUAAGCAUCAGGUAACAUCAAAUCGUACCCCAAACCGACACAGGUGGUCAGGUAGAGAAUACCAAGGCGCUUGAGAGAACUCGGGUGAAGGAACUAGGCAAAAUGGUGCCGUAACUUCGGGAGAAGGCACGCUGACACGUAGGUGAAGUGAUUUACUCAUGGAGCUGAAGUCAGUCGAAGAUACCAGCUGGCUGCAACUGUUUAUUAAAAACACAGCACUGUGCAAACACGAAAGUGGACGUAUACGGUGUGACGCCUGCCCGGUGCCGGAAGGUUAAUUGAUGGGGUCAGCGCAAGCGAAGCUCCUGAUCGAAGCCCCGGUAAACGGCGGCCGUAACUAUAACGGUCCUAAGGUAGCGAAAUUCCUUGUCGGGUAAGUUCCGACCUGCACGAAUGGCGUAAUGAUGGCCAGGCUGUCUCCACCCGAGACUCAGUGAAAUUGAACUCGCUGUGAAGAUGCAGUGUACCCGCGGCAAGACGGAAAGACCCCGUGAACCUUUACUAUAGCUUGACACUGAACAUUGAGCCUUGAUGUGUAGGAUAGGUGGGAGGCUUUGAAGUGUGGACGCCAGUCUGCAUGGAGCCGACCUUGAAAUACCACCCUUUAAUGUUUGAUGUUCUAACGUGGACCCGUUACCCGGGUUGCGGACAGUGUCUGGUGGGUAGUUUGACUGGGGCGGUCUCCUCCUAAAGAGUAACGGAGGAGCACGAAGGUUGGCUAAUCCUGGUCGGACAUCAGGAGGUUAGUGCAAUGGCAUAAGCCAGCUUGACUGCGAGCGUGACGGCGCGAGCAGGUGCGAAAGCAGGUCAUAGUGAUCCGGUGGUUCUGAAUGGAAGGGCCAUCGCUCAACGGAUAAAAGGUACUCCGGGGAUAACAGGCUGAUACCGCCCAAGAGUUCAUAUCGACGGCGGUGUUUGGCACCUCGAUGUCGGCUCAUCACAUCCUGGGGCUGAAGUAGGUCCCAAGGGUAUGGCUGUUCGCCAUUUAAAGUGGUACGCGAGCUGGGUUUAGAACGUCGUGAGACAGUUCGGUCCCUAUCUGCCGUGGGCGCUGGAGAACUGAGGGGGGCUGCUCCUAGUACGAGAGGACCGGAGUGGACGCAUCACUGGUGUUCGGGUUGUCAUGCCAAUGGCACUGCCCGGUAGCUAAAUGCGGAAGAGAUAAGUGCUGAAAGCAUCUAAGCACGAAACUUGCCCCGAGAUGAGUUCUCCCUGAGACUUAAAGUCUCCUGAAGGAACGUUGAAGACGACGACGUUGAU
rnacentral:rRNA from 1 species